CCUACGGGGGGCAGCAGUAAGGAAUAUUGCUCAAUGGCCGAAAGGCUGAAGCAGCGACGCCGCGUGGGCGAUGAAGGUCUUCGGAUCGUAAAGCCCUUUUCUGCGUGACGAGCAAGGACGGUAGCGCAGGAAGAAGUCUCGGCUAACUACGUGCCAGCAGCCGCGGUAAAACGUAGGAGACGAGCGUUAUCCGGAAUUACUGGGCGUAAAGCGCGAGUAGGCGGCUUUUUAAGUGGUCUGUGAAAGCGUCCGGCUCAACUGGACGAGGCCGGAUCAGACUGGAAGGCUAGAGGGUCAGAGAGGCAGGCGGAAUUCCGGGUGUAGUGGUGAAAUGCGUAGAGAUCCGGAGGAACACCAGUGGCGAAGGCGGCCUGCUGGCUGACACCUGACGCUGAGGCGCGAAAGCAUGGGGAGCGAACGGGAUUAGAUACCCCUGUAGU
rnacentral:rRNA from 1 species